rnacentral:rRNA from 1 species
AUGAUUCCAACUCGACGAACCUCAAGAAAUGCCAGAGAGAGCUCAGAGCUAAGCAGUUCUGGUCAUCAGUGCUAUUUGAGCGUGCAGAAUCCUUUCAGAAAUAGCUCGCCUCUUUCACCGCGACAAAGAAAAGGCCUCAUUCAGAGAGUGACGAUGAUAGCACUCCAGCACCUGAAAUGUGUCAACGAAUCAGAGGUAAUCAUGUUGUUGUUCUGCUUUUCGUUUCCAUUCCGGCAAUACCAAAUGUUGUCUUACAUACAACUGACCAUUUACAUCAAGGAUGGCCUCAAUGACACCGCCGGCUCGCUCCCACCAUACGAAGAAGCAUCAGACAAUGAACGGGAUCACGGGCCCAGCAAGAAAACAAAGUCUCAGCCUACUGCCCGCAGGACAUUAGUCUUUAAAGACUGA